CCCAGCCCCACGUGGUUCAGCUGUCCCCACCACAGUAGCCUCAAGUCCCACAUGGUUCAGUUGUCCCCACCACUGGUUGGCAUACUUGGGACAGGAGUUCACCAUCUCACAGGAAGCCCCUUGAGCUCCUGGCUCUGUACAGAGUCCCACCCGCCCCAGGCUUGCAGUGAGGACUGUCCCUCCACUGCCUUCUUGGAGAAAGAGCCCAAGGUCACAGUGGAGGGGGAGCAGAGGCAGAUCCUGCAAUGGGGCUUCUCUGCUUCCUUCUCAGGCCUGUGUGUCUCUCUUACCAAUGCGGACAAGAGACAUCUUCAUUCUGGAUGGUGCCCAUGCCCCAAAGCCAACCAGACCCAUAUCCUGGCCUUGCCUUCUGAGUAGACUUGAGCCCAGCAUUUCUGGAGGACCUCAGCCUAAGACUAAACCUCCUGUCUUCACUUCGAAGGGCACCUGUAGUUUGCAUCUACCCAGAUUCUCUCCCCAAGCCUGACUUACCUUUGGGGACUUCCCUCCUCCCUCUUCUCAAUCCAUGUGCCUGUGUCCCACUCCCUAGUUCCAGGUCGGGCUUGUGUACCAGACCUGGCCAAUCUGCAUAUUCCAUUCACAUUUCUGCAGUGAUUAGUUCAGGGCGGGGUAUAGGACUUAAGUUGGACCCAUGAGAAUCAACGCUGCGACUCUGGUUGAGCCAAUAGGAAAGAGGCACUACUUUCCCUUCCCUUGGGGCUGAACUGGAAGGAAAAGGUAGCUCUCCUUUAGCACUGCUUGGGAAGAGCCUGGCUGGGAAUGAAGCUGACACAGAAAGAAAGAGUCAAGAGAUGGAGAAGUGCAUUCCUAAGCAUACUAGGCCCCUGGAUCCAGCCGUCCCUGAAGCCAUUGCACACUGGACUUUUCAGUUAUGUGAGCUAAAUAAUUCCUUUUUGUUAUAAAGCCCUUGGAGUUCGGCUCCAGUCAUUUCCAACACAAAUUGCUCUAUUCCUUCCCUGUCCAGAAAAAGCCAGGGCCCCUUGGUGCUAGUAUAGUAUCUCCUUCCUCCAUCUUCUGACAAAAACCUAGCUCUGGACCAGCGGGGGCAAAAUUCCCAGCCAAGGAACCACUGCACUGACCUACAGCUCAAUGGUCUCCCAGUUACUACCCCGUGAGACAGCAAGUAGAAAACUGCCUCCUCUUUCUCCCCACCUCACCCUUUUCCUACCCACCCUUUUCCUAUAAUCAUGGGCUCAAGGCCCUACCUCCUGCCCCAUCAGUCACACUCCUGUACUCUCAUCAGGGUUUAUAUAUGGUGGGCUAAGAGGAGUGUUGAGUGUUAGCUAUGGGGCAGGACAGAUGGGGUGGCCCAGCUGCCAUCUGUUUACAUGAGGAACAGGAAGCUGUCCUCCUGCCCUGGCCUCCCAAAGUGCUGCGAUUACAGGAGUAAGGCACUACUCUCGACCUUUGUUUUUUCAAUUGUCUUGUUUUUGAGACAGGGUCUUGCUCUGUCACCCAGGCUGGAGUGCAGUGGCACUAUCGCAGCUCACUGCAGCCUUGACCUUCCCAGCUCAAGCAACCCUCUCACCUCAACCUUUCAAGUAGCUGGGACUUUAGGCACACGCCGCCAUGCCUGGCUAGUUUUUGUAUUUUUAGUAGAGAUGGAGUUUCACCAUGUUGCCCAGGCUGGUCUCAAACUCCUGGGCUCAAGCGAUCUGCCCACCUCAGCUUCCCAAAGUGCUGGGUUACAGGUGUGAGGCACCACACCCAGCCUUCUAAUCUUUUCAUAGAAAACAUUAAUACUUGUGUACUUACGCCAAACCACAGUCUGGAUAGUAACAGGAAGUUUGCAUUUUGUUUAUCUCUGGGCAGGAUGAAGGAAGGUAGGUGGGGGUGGGGAAGGAUUGUGGGUGAUUUUUAUUUUCUUUGUAUUUAGCAAUAUUUUCUGCUUUAUGUGAAGUAGACAUAUUUUCUUUGUAUUAAAAGAGCAAAAUAAAUUUGUUUUCUUUAAAAGCAAAACAAGAAAAAACAGGAAACUCUGCAGGUGACAAGUGGGUCCAUAAUAGGGAGCCAGCCACGGAGGUGAGAUAAGGGGGGAGUCCUUCGAAAGUGGCCUGGGGAGUAGGAGAGAGUGGGAACUUCCCCUGGAAACAUUCCCUCUUUCAUGUCUUUCUGGCCCCUUGACUUGAGAGUGCUUGACUUGGUUAUGGUCCCACCCCAAGGGGUGGAAGUGGGGACCGAACAGGACCAUUGUCUGCCCAUCAGGUCUGUGGGGGUCGAGGGGGAGGUGGGGAGUACUGGGAACCUGGAGACUGGGGAUGCUUUCUCACACUCACUAGUACUAGAAGAUGGGGAAGGUGAACCAGGCUGGAGGUCGAGUUAACAGGGUAAAGAGGCCAGGGCCCUAGUUUCGCAUCCGCCGACUGGCAGCUCUUCUUACGUGUUCUUUCACGGAAGCCCCUCCUUGGGAAGCCCCGCGCCCCACCCACCAGGAGUCGUCCCUUUUUGGGCGGGGCUGAGGCUUCCAGGCUGGGUCCUGAGAAAGUUUGGUGGCCGGAGACUGUGGGGCGCUUAGGUACCGACCUAACAACUUCUGCGCCUGUUUCCAGGGACGAGCCACGCACGGUGCCCCCUGAACACCUAACAGUCCCGGGGGCAGCCCCACCUCUGGCUGGGUGGACAGAGACAGCCUGUGGGCGUGGCCCAGAACUGAAAGCCUGUGACUCCUUGCGACCCGCCGGGCACACCCCCUACUCAGCUACGCAGCUCCCGAGCGCUUGAGGGGAGCUUCCCAGGCUCCCACUAGCCCACCCUCAAGCUGGGGUUUCGCACGUGCGAUCGGCUGGGGUGGGCAAGGGGGUCUCCGCUCAAGGAAAGUAUUCAGAACCAGCCCCUUCUCCCCCACCCUCUCUCCUGCAGGGCCCUACUGCACCUCGAAAGUGCUGGCAGGGACGAGGAGCCUGCGGGGGCCAAAUUCCGUACCGUCCCCCGCCUCCCACGGUGUUCGAACAGCUCAGUAGACCGCCGCCACCAGCUGGCUGGAGCAGCCGCCGGUGACAUCUGCGCCGCGCCCACGCUUCGGAGCCAAGAUCCACC
rnacentral:lncRNA from 1 species